GAUCUGAUGGUGGAGUGGUUACCAUGCCUGCUGAAACUACAGUUGAACGUAGCAUGUCUCGCAGGAGACCCCCGUUCAAUUCGGGGUCAGGUCA